rnacentral:rRNA from 1 species
AUUAACGCGAAGAACCUUACCUACCCUUGACAUGUCCGGAAUCCUGCAGAGAUGCGGGAGUGCUCGAAAGAGAACCGGAACACAGGUGCUGCAUGGCUGUCGUCAGCUCGUGUCGUGAGAUGUUGGGUUAAGUCCCGCAACGAGCGCAACCCUUAUCAUUAGUUGCUACGCAAGGGCACUCUAAUGAGACUGCCGGUGACAAACCGGAGGAAGGUGGGGAUGACGUCAAGUCCUCAUGGCCCUUAUGGGUAGGGCUUCACACGUCAUACAAUGGUCGGUACAGAGGGUUGCGAAGCCGCGAGGUGAAGCCAAUCCCAGAAAGCCGAUCGUAGUCCGGAUUGUUCUCUGCAACUCGAGAGCAUGAAGUCGGAAUCGCUAGUAAUCGCGGAUCGGCAUGUCGCGGUGAAUACGUUCCCGGGCCUUGUACACACCGAAU